ACGGAUAUAGGAAGCAGCGGUGUGGCCUUUGAAGCCAUCAUAAAUUCCAACGAAUAGUGCGUCAUGGCUUACAUCGUCGUAGUUGUGAUCUUCCAUAUCCUUAUUUGACUAACAGAAGCCAUGGAGAAUUCCCCAUGGCAAUGCCUUUCAUUUUUGGGAGAUUUUGGUAAAGGGUCAGCGUUAAAUGUUUCUUGAUAACAAGAACACUAAUAACACUAUCAAUCUUCUCAUUUCUUGAUAACAAUAUACAAAAAUUAGCAAAACAAGAACACUAAUAACACUAUCAAUCUUCUCAUUUCUUGAUAACAAUAUACAAAAUUUAGCAAAACAAGAACACUAAUAACACUAUCAAUCUUCUCAUUUCUUGAUAACAAUAUACAAAAAUUAGCAAAACAAGAACACUAAUAACACUAUCAAUCUUCUCAUUUCUUAAUAACAAUUUACAAAAUUUAGCAAAACAAGAACACUAAUAACACUAUCAAUCUUUUCAUUUCUUCAUAACAAUAUACAGGUAAGUAUGCUAAGAAAAAAGAAGCAAAAAAAUAACUCACGCAAUAGAGUCCUAAAGAUGUGCGUACGGAUAUAGGAAGCAGCGGUGUGGCCUUUGAAGCCAUCAUAAAUUCCAACGAACUGUGCGUCAUGGCUUACAUCGUCCUAGUUGUGACCUUCCAUAUCCUUAUUUAACUAACAGAAGCCAUGGAGAAUUCCCCAUGGCAAUGCCUUUCAUUUUUGGGAGAUUUUGAUAAAGGGCCAGCGUUAAAUGUUUCUUGAUAACAAGAACACUAAUAACACUAUCAAUCUUCUCAUUUCUUGAUAACAAUAUACAAAAUUUAGCAAAACAAGAACACUAAUAACACUAUCAAUCUUCUCAUUUCUUGAUAACAAUAUACAAAAUUUAGCAAAACAAGAACACUAAUAACACUAUCAAUCUUCUCAUUUCUUGAUAACAAUAUACAAAAUUUAGCAAAACAAGAACACUAAUAACACUAUCAAUCUUCUCAUUUCUUGAUAACAAUAUACAAAAUUUAGCAAAACAAGAACACUAAUAACACUAUCAAUCUUCUCAUUUCUUGAUAACAAUAUACAAAAUUUAGCAAAACAAGAACACUAAUAACACUAUCAAUCUUCUCAUUUCUUGAUAACAAUAUACAAAAUUUAGCAAAACAAGAACACUAAUAACACUAUCAAUCUUCUCAUUUCUUGAUAACAAUAUACAAAAUUUAGCAAAACAAGAACACUAAUAACACUAUCAAUCUUCUCAUUUCUUGAUAACAAUAUACAAAAUUUAGCAAAACAAGAACACUAAUAACACUAUCAAUCUUCUCAUUUCUUGAUAACAAUAUACAAAAUUUAGCAAAACAAGAACACUAAUAACACUAUCAAUCUUCUCAUUUCUUGAUAACAAUAUACAAAAUUUAGCAAAACAAGAACACUAAUAACACUAUCAAUCUUCUCAUUUCUUGAUAACAAUAUACAAAAUUUAGCAAAACAAGAACACUAAUAACACUAUCAAUCUUCUCAUUUCUUGAUAACAAUAUACAAAAUUUAGCAAAACAAGAACACUAAUAACACUAUCAAUCUUCUCAUUUCUUGAUAACAAUAUACAAAAUUUAGCAAAACAAGAACACUAAUAACACUAUCAAUCUUCUCAUUUCUUGAUAACAAUAUACAAAAUAGAGAGAUCAAAUACAAGAACACUAUAACACUAUCAAUCUCUCAUUUCUUGAUAACAUAUACAAAAUUUAGCAAACAAGAACACUAAUAACACUAUCAUCUUCUCAUUUCUUGAUAACAAUAUACAAAAUUUAGCAAACAAGAACACUAAUAACACUAUCAAUCUUCUCAUUUUCUGAUAACAAUAUACAAAAUUUAGCAAAACAAGAACACUAAUAACAUCUAUCAUCUCCUUAUUCUUGAUAACAAUAUACAAAAUUUAGCAAACAAGAACACUAAUAACAUUAUCAAUCUUCUCAUUUCUUGAUAACAAUAUACAAAAUUUAGCAAAACAAGAACACUAAUAACACUAUCAAUCUUCUCAUUUCUUGAUAACAAUACAAAAUUUAGCAAAAGAACAACUAUAACACUAUCAAUCUUUUCAUUUCUUGAUAACAUAUACAAAUUUAGCAAACAAGAACACUAAUAACACUAUCAUCUUCUAUUUUUGAUACAAAUAUAAAAAUUUAGCAAAACAAGAACACUAAUAACACUAUCAUCUUCUCAUUUCUUGAUAACAAUAUACAAAAUUUAGCAAACAAGAACACUAAAAACACUAUCAAUCUUCUCAUUUCUUGUAACAAUAUACAAAAUUUAGCAAAACAAGAACACUAAUAACACUAUCAAUCUUUCAUUUCUUGAUAACAUUUACAAAAUUUAGCAAAACAAGAACACUAAUAACACUAUCAUCUUUCUCAUUCUUGAUAACAAUAUACAAAUUUUAGCAAAACAAGAACACUAUAACACUAUCAAUCUUCUCAUUUCUUGAUAACAAUAUACAAAAUUUAGCAAACAAGAACACUAUAACACUAUCAAUCUUUUCAUUUCUUGAUAACAAUAUACAAAAUUUAGCAAAACAAGAACACUAAUAACACUAUCAUUCUUCUCAUUUCUUGAUAACAUAUACAAAAUUUAGCAAAACAAGAACACUAAUAACACUAUCAAUCUUCUCAUUUCUUGAAACAAUAUACAAAAUUUAGCAAACAAGAACACUAAUAAACUAUCAAUCUUCUCAUUUCUUGAUAACAAUAUACAAAAUUAGCAAAACAAGAACACAUAAUACACUAUCAAUCUUCUCAUUUCUUGAUAACAAUAUACAAAUUUAGCAAAACAACAACACUAAUAACACUAUCAAUCUUCUCAUUUCUUGAUAACAAUAUACAAAUUUAGCAAAACAAGAACACUAAUAACACUAUCAAUCUUCUCAUUUCUUGAUAACAAUAUACAAAAUUUAGAAAAACAAGAACACUAACAACAUUAUCAAUCUCCUUAUUUCUUGAUAACAAUAUACAAAAUUUAGCAAAACAAGAACACUAAAAACACUAUCAAUCUUAUCAUUUCUUGAUUACAAUAUACAAAAUUUAGCAAAACAAGAACACUACUAACACUAUCAAUCUUCUCAUUUCUUGAUAACAAUAUACAAAAUUUAGCAAAACAAGAACACUAAUAACACUAUCAAUCUUUUCAUUUCUUCAUAACAAUAUACAGGGAAGUAUGCUAAGAAAAAAGAAGCAAAAAAAUAACUCACGUAACAGAGUCCUAAAGAUGUGCGUACGGAUAUAGGAAGCAGCGGUGUGGCCUUUGAAGCCAUCAUAAAUUCCAACGAACAGUGCGUCAUGGCUUACAUCGUCCUAGUUGUGAUCUUCCAUAUCCUUAUUUUACUAACAGAAGCAAUGGAGAAUUCCCCAUGGCAAUGCCUUUCAUUUUUGGGAGAUUUUGGUAAAGGGUCAGCGUUAAAUGUUUCUUGAUAACAAGAACACUAAUAACACUAUCAAUCUUCUCAUUUCUUGAUAAUAAUAUACAAAAAUUAGCAAAACAAGAACACUUAUCAGACUAUCAACCUUCUCAUUUUUUGAUAACAAUAUACAAAAUUUAGCAAAACAAGAACACUAAUAACACUAUCAAUCUUCUCAUUUCUUGACAACAAUAUACAAAAUUUAGCAAAACAAGAACACUAAUAACACUAUCAAUCUUCUCAUUUCUUGAUAACAAUAUACAAAAUUUAGCAAAACAAGAACACUAAUAACACUAUCAAUCUUCUCAUUUCUUGAUAACAAUAUACAAAAUUUAGCAAAACAAGAACACUAGUAACACUAUCAAUCUUCUCAUUUUUUUGAUAACAAUAUACAAAAUUUAGCAAAACAAGAACACUAAUAACACUAUCAAUCUUCUCAUUUCUUGACAACAAUAUACAAAAUUUAGCGAAACAAGAACACUAAUAACACUAUCAAUAUUCUCAUUUCUUGAUAACAAUAUACAAAAUUAGCAAAACAAGAACACUAAUAACACUAUCAAUCUUCUAAUUUCUAGAUAACAAUAUACAAAAUUUUAGCAAAACAACAACACUAAUAACACUAUCAAUCUUCUCAUUUCUUGAUAACAAUAUACAAAUUUAGCAAAACAAGAACACUAAUAACACUAUCAAUCUUCUUAUUUCUUGAUAACAAUAUACAAAAUUUAGCAAAACAAGAACACUAACAACAUUAUCAAUCUCCUUAUUUCUUGAUAACAAUAUACAAAAUUUAGCAAAACAAGAACACUAAAAACACUAUCAAUCUUCUCAUUUCUUGAUAACAAUAUUAACAAAAUUUAGCAAAACAAGAAACACUAAUAACACUAUCAAUUUUCUCAUUUCUUGAUAACAAUAUACAAAUUUAGCAAAACAAGAACACUAAUAACACUAUCAAUCUUCUCAUUCUUGAUAACAAUAUACAAAAUUUAGCAAACAAGAACACUAAUAACACUAUCAAUCUUCUCAUUCUUGAUAACAAUAUACAAAUUUAGCAAAACAAGAACUACUAACACUAUCAAUCUUCUCAUUUCUUGAUAACAAUAUACAAAAUUUAGCAAAACAAGAACAUAAUAACACUAUCAAUCUUCUCAUUUCUUGAUAACAAUAUACAAAAUUAGCAAAAC
rnacentral:lncRNA from 1 species